rnacentral:rRNA from 1 species
AUUGAACGCUGGCGGCAGGCCUAACACAUGCAAGUCGAGCGGAUGAAGGGAGCUUGCUCCUGGAUUCAGCGGCGGACGGGUGAGUAAUGCCUAGGAAUCUGCCUGGUAGUGGGGGAUAACGUCCGGAAACGGGCGCUAAUACCGCAUACGUCCUGAGGGAGAAAGUGGGGGAUCUUCGGACCUCACGCUAUCAGAUGAGCCUAGGUCGGAUUAGCUAGUUGGUGGGGUAAAGGCCUACCAAGGCGACGAUCCGUAACAGGUCUGAGAGGAUGAUCAGUCACACUGGAACUGAGACACGGUCAAGACUCCUACGGGAGGCAGCAGUGGGGAAUAUUGGACAAUGGGCGAAAGCCUGAUACAGCCAUGCCGCGUGUGUGAAGAAGGUCUUCGGAUUGUAAAGCACUUUAAGGUGGGAGGAAGGGCAGUAAGUUAAUACCUUGCUGUUUUGACGGUACCAACAGAAUAAGCACCGGCUAACUUCGUG